UACGAAGGGGGCUAGCGUUGCUCGGAAUUACUGGGCGUAAAGCGCGUGUAGGCGGACCACCAAGUCGGACGUGAAAGCCCUGAGCUCAACUCAGGAACUGCAUCCGAAACUGGCGGUCUGGAGUAGUGGAGAGGAAAGCAGAAUUCCUGGUGUAGAGGUGAAAUUCGUAGAUAUCAGGAGGAACACCGGUGGCGAAGGCGGCUUUCUGGACACUUACUGACGCUGAGACGCGAAAGCGUGGGGAGCAAACAGG
rnacentral:rRNA from 1 species